CGGCCAUUUAAAGUUAAAACACCUGUUCCCGUACGAUCAACGAAGUUAAGCAACAUUGAGCUUGGUCAGUACCUAGAUUGGUGACUGCUUAGGAAUACCAAAUGCCGUAAG